GAAAUGCGAUACGUAGUGUGAAUUGCAGAAUUCAGUGAAUCAUCGAAUCUUUGAACGCACAUUUCGCCCUUUGGUAUUCCAAAGGGCAUGCCUGUUCGAGCGUCAUUUGUACCCUCAAGCUUUGCUUGGUGUUGGGCGUUUUUUGUCUUUGGCUCGCCCAAAGACUCGCCUUAAAACGAUUGGCAGCCGGCCUACUGGUUUCGCAGCGCAGCACAUUUUUGCGCUUGCAAUCAGCAAAAGAGGACGGCAAUCCAUCAAGACUCCUUCUCACGUUUGACCUCGGAUCAGGUAGGGAUACCCGCUGAACUUAAGC
rnacentral:misc_RNA from 1 species